rnacentral:rRNA from 1 species
AAUGAACGCUGGCGGCAGGCCUAACACAUGCAAGUCGAGCGAGGACUUCGGUCCUAGCGGCGGACGGGUGAGUAACGCGUGGGAAUAUGCCCUUUGGUACGGAAUAGCCUCGGGAAACUGGGAGUAAUACCGUAUGUGCCCUUCGGGGAAGAUUAUCGCCAAAGGAUUAGCCCGCGUUGGAUUAGGUAGUUGGUGGGGUAAGUGGCCUACCAAGCCGACGAUCCAUAGCUGGUUUGAGAGGAUGAUCAGCCACACUGGGACUGAGACACGGCCCAGACUCCUACGGGAGGCAGCAGUGGGGAAUCUUAGACAAUGGGCGCAAGCCUGAUCUAGCCAUGCCGCGUGAUCGAUGAAGGCCUUAGGGUUGUAAAGAUCUUUCAGAUGGGAAGAUAAUGACUGUACCAUCAGAAGAAGCCCCGGCUAACUCCGUG